rnacentral:lncRNA from 1 species
AGGAAGAAGGAAGAAAAGAAAAAGAAGAAAAGAAGAAAAAGAAAAGAGAAAGAAAAGAAAAGGAAAAAAAAAAAAGAGAGACCCUUAACGGGUCCGACCUAACGGGUCUGAUCCGAGUACGGGUCCGAACCUGUUAGGCCCAAAUAAAAGAAAAGAAAAAUGGAUUUAGCCAAAUUUGACUAAAACCGAGCCCAAUCAGAUUGGGCUAAGUCCGGACGAACCCAAACUAUAAAUUGAAUAUGAAUCAAGCCCAAUUCAAAACCAGUUUAACUAAAUUGAGACCGAAUUGACUUUGGGCUGACCCUGACUCAAGCCUAGAUGAGCCACAUUGACCCUGGACCAAAAUUAAACCUAAUUGGACUUGAAAUUGAGCCCAAUAACAUAAUCAGAAGACCAAAUUGACCCGAUAGGGCUAGACCCAAUCAGAAACCGAGCUCAAUUCUUUAAUUAAAGACCCAAUUGACCUACGUGAAUCCAAUCUGGUUCUAAAUCGAGGUCAAGGGCUCUAAAUUAAAUAAAUUAGACUUGAGAUCCAAGCAAAUAAAUUCAUGUUAUGAUAAAUUAGAAAAUUAUGAAAUAAAUAGAGAAUAAUGUGACCCCUAUGUGAUUUAUUUAGGUGAUCAAGGAUUUGUCACCCGGACGUAAGAAAUUGGAAAGCAUAUUGCUGUAAGUAACCUUGGCACUGAUCUUAAAGUUUUUAAAUUACUAUUUAUUCAUCAUUAUGAAAAUGUAUUGCUUACGAUAUAUUUUCCUCAAAAUUAGGAUCAAGUAUAUGAUUGCGUGUGAUACAUGAAUUUGAUUAAAGAGCAUCCUUCAUGAAUAUUUAAUGAUGUAUGAGUUAUGAAAUUAUGAUUAUGUUAGACUGCAUGAAAAA